rnacentral:tRNA from 1 species
GCUGCGGUGGCCUAGUUGGUUAGGGCGCCAGACUCAUAAUCUGGAGGUCGCGGGUUCGGAUCCCGCCCGCAGCA